UACGUAGGGUGCGAGCGUUAAUCGGAAUUACUGGGCGUAAAGCGUGCGCAGGCGGUCUGUUAAGACCGAUGUGAAAUCCCCGGGCUUAACCUGGGAACUGCAUUGGUGACUGGCAGGCUUUGAGUGUGGCAGAGGGAGGUAGAAUUCCACGUGUAGCAGUGAAAUGCGUAGCGAUGUGGAGGAAUACCGAUGGCGAAGGCAGCCUCCUGGGCCAACACUGACGCUCAUGCACGAAAGCGUGGGGAGCAAACAGG
rnacentral:rRNA from 1 species